CGGUUUAAGCAUGUAGGCUGGUUGUCCAGGCAAAUCCGGAUAAUCAAGGCUGAGGUGUGAUGACGAGGCACUACGGUGCUGAAGUAACAAAUGCCCUGCUUCCAGGAAAAGCCUCUAAGCAUCAGGUAACAUCAAAUCGUACCCCAAACCGACACAGGUGGUCAGGUAGAGAAUACCAAGGCGCUUGAGAGAACUCGGGUGAAGGAACUAGGCAAAAUGGUGCCGUAACUUCGGGAGAAGGCACGCUGGUGUGUAGGUGAAGUCCCUGCGGAUGGAGCUGAGACCAGUCGAAGAUACCAGCUGGCUGCAACUGUUUAUUAAAAACACAGCACUGUGCAAACACGAAAGUGGACG
rnacentral:rRNA from 1 species